GAUGAACGCUGGCGGUAUGCUUGACACAUGCAAGUCGAACGGACUCUUCGGAGUUAGUGGCGGACGGGUGAGUAACGCGUGAGAAUCUGGCUUUGGGUUCGGGACAACCACUGGAAACGGUGGCUAAUACCGGAUGUGCCGAGAGGUAAAAGAGAAAUUGCCUGAAGAUGAGCUCGCGUCUGAUUAGCUAGUUGGUGAGGUAAAGGCUCACCAAGGCAGCGAUCAGUAGCUGGUCUGAGAGGAUGACCAGCCACACUGGGACUGAGACACGGCCCAGACUCCUACGGGAGGCAGCAGUGGGGAAUUUUCCGCAAUGGGCGAAAGCCUGACGGAGCAAUACCGCGUGAGGGAAGAAGGCUCUUGGGUUGUAAACCUCUUUUCUUAGGGAAGAACAAAAUGACGGUACCUAAGGAAUCAGCAUCGGCUAACUCCGUG
rnacentral:rRNA from 1 species